rnacentral:rRNA from 1 species
UACAGAGGUGGCAAGCGUUGUUCGGAAUUACUGGGCGUAAAGGGCGCGUAGGCGGCCUUAUAAGUCUCGUGUGAAAGCCCUCGGCUUAACUGAGGAUCUGCACGGGAUACUGUAAGGCUCGAGUUCGGGAGAGGAAAGCGGAAUUCCGGGUGUAGCGGUGAAAUGCGUAGAUAUCCGGAGGAACACCAGUGGCGAAGGCGGUUUUCUGGACCGACACUGACGCUGAUGCGCGAAAGCUAGGGGAGCAAACGGG